rnacentral:rRNA from 1 species
AGCGAACGCUGGCGGCAGGCCUAACACAUGCAAGUCGAACGAACUCUUCGGAGUUAGUGGCGGACGGGUGAGUAACACGUGGGAACGUGCCUUUAGGUUCGGAAUAACUCAGGGAAACUUGUGCUAAUACCGAAUGUGCUCUUCGGGGGAAAGAUUUAUCGCCUUUAGAGCGGCCCGCGUCUGAUUAGCCAGUUGGUGAGGUAAAGGCUCACCAAGGAGACGAUCAGUAGCUGGUCGGAGAGGAUGAUCAGCCACAUUGGGACUGAGACACGGCCCAAACUCCUACGGGAGGGAGCAGUGGGGAAUCUUGCGCAAUGGGCGAAAGCCUGACGCAGCCAUGCCGCGUGAAUGAUGAAGGUCUUAGGAUUGUAAAAUUCUUUCAGCGGGGACGAUAAUGACGGUACCCGGAGAAGAAGCCCCGGCUAACUUCGUG